AAGGACACACUCGAAAGCAAGUUUUGUCCUCGUCACCUUAAAAGAUUCUACAUAGGAGCAACAUGUACCGGCAGUUGAGUACCAUUUCUUGCUGCGCAUCACACGACCCUAGCCGACCCUUGCUUAAUGAUUCAACUUUAGAGUGGCCCAAUACCGGCAGUUGAGCAUCUCCUGUUGCGUAUGAUAUGGCCCCAUCUCCACAGCUCCCUACUGCGUCUUCACGUCGAGCCUAGGUGACGCAACAGAGCGGCCUAACAAUGCCUCAGAAGUAGCCGAGCACACUCUAGCUACGCCUACUCCACCCGAUGG
rnacentral:lncRNA from 1 species